ACAUGAUGGAGCAACUUGGCUGCCUCUCGGUACUCUUGGCCUCAUGCUCAGUCCUUUCCUGGAUGGUGCCCCUUGAAGAUUCACCUCCACCACCAACCCUUUCCCUGGAUCCCCAGUACCCUGUGUACAUCCAAGGGGAACAGGUAACCCUGAU